CAUUUUAAAACAAUGUUUGCUUCCCCCCCUCAGGUACAGUCACCACAAAAUUUCCUUCACCAAUGUACCCAUGCACCACCACCACAGUCCCCUGGAGACACCGUAAAUCUUUCCAAUGCAUGUAAUGAGAGUCCCAGAAGAAAAUGAGAAAAAGGGACAAAGAAAAUAUUCAAAGAAAUAAUGGCUGUGAAACUUGCCAAAUUUGAUGAAAAACAUUCAUCUACAUAUCCAUGAAGCUCAAGAAUGUCCAGUGGGAUAAUAGGAUCCAAUAGAAUUCAACAGCUGUACACAUCAUAAUCAAACUACUUGAAAGACAAAGAUAAAGAUAAGCUUGACAGAAUUAGAGAGCAGUGUCUCUCACAUACAAGGGAUCUUUAAUAGAAGAAUUAUAGCUGGUUUCCAUCAGAAAUCUUGACGACCAAAACACAGUAAGAUGACAUAUACAAACUCUGAAAAGAAAAAGAACAUGAAAUAAGAAUUCUAUAUCCAUUUGUCAACAAAAUAAAAAAGACAAUAUGGCAGUCUCAGAGAAACACAAGCUAAAAGAAGUAAUUAUUAGCAGGUCUGCCUUACAAGAAAUGCUAAAACAGUACAGUAGUCAAAAACUUGAAUCCCUAUGAUGACAUAAAGAACACUGGUGAAGCUAGAAACAGAAGGGAAUGUUAUUAAAAGGAGAAAGCAUUUCUACCAAAAGCCCUGAAAAAUAACUUAUUCAGGCAACAAAUUUUAUUUUAUGCCUGCAUGUGUCAAAUACUAUACAGCAGUGAGAAGAGAAUAAAUACCCUGUCUUUAUGGAGCUUACAAACUACCAGUUAAACACUUCUUUCAUAUUGUGUUGCCUCUCAAAUGUUUGUCUAUGUUUUUAUUGAAAUUAAAUGGACCUCUUGUAUCUAUCCCAUAAAAAAUGGGGUUAUUUUUAAUAAGGAGCUUGGAUACUGCAUCCAUAUGAAAAUCCUGAUGGAACUGUGACAGAACCCUCCUUAAUUUAGAAGUUAAGAAAGACAAAAAGGAAUUGCUACACCUCUCCAGGAGGAAACAACAUUGAAUGAUAUGAAUCUCGCUUCCUAGUUACUCCAUUAUUUACUUCUCUGAAAGAAUGUAGUAUGCUGCCUAUUUUCCAAGAUAUUUCCAUGGACGAAGUCUGAACUGUAGGAUGAGAAGGAAUUAUUGAGAUGGAGAAAGAAAUGAGUGCAGCAGCAGGUAUCAGCAGAUAUGUCCUGAUAGCUGAAGAUCACAAAUAAGAUAAGUAACUUUUUUCUAAUAAAUGCUAAAAUAUUGUCAGAUAUAUUCAUGACCCAGCCAAGAUGACUCAGGAGUUUUUAUACAAUGCUGUUACUGAAGACAAAGAACAGCAAAACUUUGAUAAUAACAUCAACAUCAAAACAGAACCUGCAUUCCAAAUCAAAUAGGUCAGAAAGAAUUAUCAAAAACACCCAAGAAAUUACUGAGGAAAUCUGUUCUAUUAUUUUAU